UACGUAGGCAGCGAGCGUUGUUCGGAAUUACUGGGCGUAAAGAGUGUGUAGGCGGUGCUCUAAGUUCGGUGUGAAAUCUCCUGGCUCAACUGGGAGGGUGCGCCGGAAACUGGAGUGCUUGAGCGUGGGAGAGGAAAGCGGAAUUCCUGGUGUAGCGGGUGAAAAUGCGUAGAGAUCAUGAGGAAGACCAGUGGCGAAGGCGGGUCUCUGGACAGUUCCUGACACUGAGACACGAAGGCCAGGGGAGCAAACGGG
rnacentral:rRNA from 1 species